UACGUAGGGGGCAAGCGUUGUUCGGAAUUACUGGGCGUAAAGGGCGCGUAGGCGGCACGGCAAGUCGGGAGUGAAAGCCCGGGGCUCAACCCCGGAGGGUCUCUCGAAACUGCCGAGCUAGAGUGCGGAAGAGGCAAUCGGAAUUCCCAGUGUAGCGGUGAAAUGCGUAGAUAUCUGGAGGAACACCGGUGGCGAAGGCGGCAUCCUGGACCGACACUGACGCUGAGGAGCGAAAGCCAGGGGAGCAAACGGG
rnacentral:rRNA from 1 species